AUUGAACGCUGGCGGCAGGCCUAACACAUGCAAGUCGAACGAGUGGCGGACGGGUGAGUAAUGUCUGGGAAACUGCCUGAUGGAGGGGGAUAACUACUGGAAACGGUAGCUAAUACCGCAUACCAUCGGAUGUUCACCGAAUGGAUUAGCUAGUCGGUGGGGUAACGGCUCACCUAGGCGCCGAUCCCUAGCUGGUCGGCGAGGAUGACCAGCCACACUGGAACUGAGACACGGUCCAGACUCCUACGGGAGGCAGCAGUGGGGAAUAGUGCACAAUUGGCGCAAGCCUGAUGCAGCCAUGCCGCGUGUAUGAAGAAGGCCUGCGGGUUGUAAAGUACGUUCAGCGGGGAGGCGUUACCCGCAGAAGAAGCACCGGCUAACUCCGUGCCAGCAGCCGCGGUAAUUC
rnacentral:rRNA from 1 species